rnacentral:rRNA from 1 species
CCUACGGGCGACAGCAGUAGGGAAUCUUUCACAAUGGGCGAAAGCCUGAUGGAGCAACGCCGCGUGCAGGAUGAAGGCCUUCGGGUUGUAAACUGCUUUUAUAAGCGAGAAAUAUGAUGGUAACUUAUGAAUAAGGAUCGGCUAACUACGUGCCAGCAGCCGCGGUCAUACGUAGGAUCCGAGCAUUAUCCGGAGUGACUGGGUGUAAAGAGUUGCGUAGGUGGCAUAAUAAGUAGCUAGUGAAAUCUGGUGGCUCAACCAUUCAGACUAUUAGCUAAACUGUUAAGCUCGAGACCGUUAGGGGUAACUGGAAUGUCUAGUGUAGGAGUGAAAUCCGUAGAUAUUAGGAGGAACACCAAUAGCGUAGGCAGGUUGCUGGGACGGUUCUGACACUAAGGCACGAAAGCAUAGGGAGCAAACGGGAUUAGAUACCCGAGUAGUC